rnacentral:rRNA from 1 species
UACGUAGGGUGCAAGCGUUAAUCGGAAUUACUGGGCGUAAAGCGUGCGCAGGCGGUGAUGUAAGACAGAUGUGAAAUCCCCGGGCUCAACCUGGGAACUGCAUUUGUGACUGCAUCGCUGGAGUACGGCAGAGGGGGAUGGAAUUCCGCGUGUAGCAGUGAAAUGCGUAGAUAUGCGGAGGAACACCGAUGGCGAAGGCAAUCCCCUGGGCCUGUACUGACGCUCAUGCACGAAAAGCGUGGGGAGCAAACAGG